rnacentral:rRNA from 1 species
GGGGAAUAUUGGACAAUGGGGGGAACCCUGAUCCAGCCAUGCCGCGUGUGUGAAGAAGGCCUUAUGGUUGUAAAGCACUUUAAGCGAGGAGGAGGCUCUCUUGGUUAAUACCCAAGAUGAGUGGACGUUACUCGCAGAAUAAGCACCGGCUAACUCUGUGCCAGCAGCCGCGGUAAUACAGAGGGUGCGAGCGUUAAUCGGAUUUACUGGGCGUAAAGCGUGCGUAGGCGGCUUUUUAAGUCGGAUGUGAAAUCCCCGAGCUUAACUUGGGAAUUGCAUUCGAUACUGGGAAGCUAGAGUAUGGGAGAGGAUGGUAGAAUUCCAGGUGUAGCGGUGAAAUGCGUAGAGAUCUGGAGGAAUACCGAUGGCGAAGGCAGCCAUCUGGCCUAAUACUGACGCUGAGGUACGAAAGCAUGGGGAGCAAAC